AUUGAACGCUGGCGGCAUGCUUUACACAUGCAAGUCGAGCGGCAGCGCGGGGGCAACCCUGGCGGCGAGCGGCGAACGGGUGAGUAAUGCAUCGGAACGUGUCCUGGAGUGGGGGAUAACGCCGCGAAAGCGGCGCUAAUACCGCAUAUUCUGUGAGCAGGAAAGCGGGGGAUCGCAAGACCUCGCGCUCGAGGGGCGGCCGAUGUCCGAUUAGGUUGUUGGUGGGGUAAUGGCCUACCAAGCCUGCGAUCGGUAGCUGGUCUGAGAGGAUGAUGCGACACACUGGGACUGAAACACGGCCCAGACUCCUACGGGAGGCAGCAGUGGGGAAUUUUGGACAAUGGGGGCAACCCUGAUCCAGCCAUGCCGCGUGCGGGAAGAAGGCCUUCGGGUUGUAAACCGCUUUUAGCCGGGAAGAAAAGGCGCGGGCUAAUACCUUGCGUUUUUGACGGUACCGGCGGAAUCAGCACCGGCUAACUACGUGCCAGCCGCCGCGGUAAGAC
rnacentral:rRNA from 1 species